rnacentral:rRNA from 1 species
GGCGAACUGCGGGCGGGGAGCGGGGGGAAUACUGAGGGGGCGAGCGUUGUCCGGAAUUACUGGGCGUAAAGAGCUCGUAGGUGGGUUGUCGCGUCGUCUGUGAAAUACCGGGGCUUAACUUCGGAGCUGCAGGCGAUACGGGCAUAACUUGAGUGCUGUAGGGGAGACUGGAAUUCCUGGUGUAGCGGUGAAAUGCGCAGAUAUCAGGAGGAACACCGAUGGCGAAGGCAGGUCUCUGGGCAGUAACUGACGCUGAGGAGCGAAAGCAUGGGUAGCGAACAGGAUUAGAUACCCGAGAGU